rnacentral:rRNA from 1 species
ACGUACACUCCUACGAGGCAGCAGUGGGGAAUAUUGGACAAUGGGCGCAAGCCUGAUCCAGCCAUGCCGCGUGAGUGAUGAAGGCCCUAGGGUUGUAAAGCUCUUUCACCGGUGAAGAUAAUGACGGUAACCGGAGAAGAAGCCCCGGCUAACUUCGUGCCAGCAGCCGCGGUAAUACGAAGGGGGCUAGCGUUGUUCGGAUUUACUGGGCGUAAAGCGCACGUAGGCGGACUAUUAAGUCAGGGGUGAAAUCCCGGGGCUCAACCCCGGAACUGCCUUUGAUACUGGUAGUCUUGAGUUCGAGAGAGGUGAGUGGAAUUCCGAGUGUAGAGGUGAAAUUCGUAGAUAUUCGGAGGAACACCAGUGGCGAAGGCGGCUCACUGGCUCGAUACUGACGCUGAGGUGCGAAAGCGUGGGGAGCAAACAGGAUUAGAAACCCGGGUAGUCCCAUG